rnacentral:lncRNA from 1 species
UAGAUCCAAUCGUGGAAGGUUGUUCAUUUGCACAGAAAUCUUAUGGUCGGGCUGAAAGGAGAACAUUCAUACCGUCCUAACGACAACCAUGAGAAUGUCCGCAAUUUGUUCCUCGCAUUCUUGAUGGUGAUGUAUAUGUAGCUUACUUUUUCCCAAGCUUUACCUCCUAAUUUCGUUUCGUUUUCCCCUUAUUUUUAACAUGUUAUUUUUGUUUCCGCAAAUCUCACGGUUAGGUUGGAAGGAAACUAAACUCAAGCAAAGCACAAGCUCCUCCGUCAUUGAGGCAGAUCCAAUUGAGGAAGUUUGGUCGUUCGUGCAUAAAGUCUCGCUUCACCAAAUUGAGGAAGGUUGGUCAUUUGCACAGAAAAUCUUGAUCCGCCAAAGGGCAAGGUUCUCCGUUGCCUAGUAAGAUCCAAAAUCCAAUCGAGAAAGGUUGGUUGUUUGCGUAGAAAAUCUCACUCUGCCCAAGGGAAAGUUCUUCCAUCACCGAGUCGUAUCCAUCGAGGUGAUUGGUCAUUUGCACAAGAAAUCUCGCUCUACCAAAGUACAAGCUCCUCCAUCGCCGAGUGAGAUCCAAAUUCAAUUUGAGAAAGGUUGGUCGUUUGCAUGGUAAAUCUCAGUCCACCAAAGGGAAAGCUCUUCCAUCACCGAGCCAGGGCCUAUUGAGGUGAUUGGUUAUUUGCACAAGAAGUAUCUCUCUCUCAAAGGGCAAGCUCCUUCGUUCUGAGCCAAAACCAAUGAGGGAAUUUGUGUUGUUUGUGCAGAAAAUCUCGUCCGGACGAAGGGAAAGUUCCUCCACCGCCGAGCCAAUUCCGUUCGUUGAAGGUUGGUCGUUUGCGCAAAAAAAUGUGGCUCCGCCAAAGGGCAAGCCCCUCCAUCAUUGAACCAGAUCCAAUUGAGGAAGGUUGCCUGUUUGUGCAGAAAAUCUCUCUCCACCAAAUGACAAGGUCUUUCGUCGCCGAGUCCGAUCCAAUCGUAGAAGGUUGAUCGUUUGUGCUCCACCAGAGGGAAAGCUCCUUAGUCGCCGAGUCGGAUCCAAUCCUCGCAGGUUGAUCGAUUGUGCUCCACGAGAGGGAAAGCUCCUAAGUCGCCGAGUCGGAUCCAAUUCUGGAAGGUUGAUCGUUUGUGCUCUGCCAAAGGGAAAGCUCCUCAUUCGCCGAGUCGAAGCCAAUCAAGGAAGGUUGAUCAUUUAUGCUCCGCCAAAGG